CCUACGGGAGGCAGCAGUGAGGAAUAUUGGACAAUGGGCGCAAGCCUGAUCCAGCCAUGCCGCGUGCAGGAAGACGGCCCUAUGGGUUGUAAACUGCUUUUAUACGGGAAGAAACACCCCUUCGUGAAGGGACUUGACGGUACCGUAUGAAUAAGGAUCGGCUAACUCCGUGCCAGCAGCCGCGGUAAUACGGAGGAUCCAAGCGUUAUCCGGAAUCAUUGGGUUUAAAGGGUCCGUAGGCGGGACAAUAAGUCAGUGGUGAAAGUCUGCAGCUUAACUGUAGAAUUGCCGUUGAAACUGUUGUUCUUGAGUAAUUAUGAAGUGGUUAGAAUAUGUAGUGUAGCGGUGAAAUGCAUAGAUAUUACAUAGAAUACCGAUUGCGAAGGCAGAUCACUAAUAAUUCACUGACGCUGAUGGACGAAAGCGUAGGUAGCGAACAGGAUUAGAUACCCGAGUAGUC
rnacentral:rRNA from 1 species